rnacentral:rRNA from 1 species
CACGGGGGGAGCAAGCGUUGUUCGGAAUCACUGGGCGUAAAGGGCGUGUAGGCGGUCAUGUAAGUGGGAUGUGAAAGCCCUCGGCUCACCCGAGGAUCUGCAUCUCAAACUGCAUGGCUUGAGUAUGGGAGAGGAUGAGGGAAUUCCUGGUGUAGCGGUGAAAUGCGUAGAUAUCGAGAGGAACACCGGUGGCGAAGGCGGCUCUUUUGGUCCACAACUGACGCUGAGGUGCGAAAGCCAGGGGGAGCAAACGGGG